UGCCGAUGAGUCCGUGCAGAUGACACAACCAAGCUCAAGGAGGAGCUCGAUGAAGAUCUUGUCCUUUAUGUUGUUUCGUUCUAGUUGAUCAGUAGUGGAGCCCAGUUGGGGUCGAUCGGGGACCUUGUCGCAUUUGGGGUUCUUCUUUUAUUUUGGUUCCGUAGUCGAACCUUGAUUGUAUCUGUUUGAUGUAAUGCUUUAUUCAUGUAAUUGUGUGAAGUGGCGAUUGUAAGCCAACUAUGUAUCUUUCCCUUAUGUAUUACAUGGGUUGUGUGAAGAUUACCUUACUUGGGACAUUGCUUUCAAUGCAGUUAUGCCUCUAAGUCGUGCUUCGACACGUGGGAGAUAUAGCCGCAUCGAGGGUGUUACAAGUUGGUAUCAGAGCCUUCCCCGACCUUAGGAGCCCCACUGCUUGAUCGUUUUUAGCAGCCAUUGUUGAGUCUAGAAAAUGUUUUGAGUCAUUUAGGAAUUAUAUAUCGGAGAGUUUAGGAAUUCUUUUUACUCCCCGGUCCCUUCAUCGCUCUGGUAAGGCAUCCUGACGUAGAGUUUUGACUCUUCUCUUCUCAAAUUUCACUAAAAAAAUUUAGGAUCACGCGGGUAUCUUGGAAUCGUUCCAAUGGUUUUGUGAUGAGAACAUUGUCUUGGUGCCUCCUGUCAGGGGUUUUGUGGAAGUGUCCCGGGGAGUUGAGCUCCGAGGUGUUGUCGUCACAAUUUUAUCGUUGUAGUUCUGGAAUACCCGAGUUUAGUUCACCGACAUCGAAAAUCUCUUUUAUGCAGUUGUUGGUGAGAUAACCUCGACGCCACCCAGUACUGGGGCGGGAGUUCGGGAGUAUUGCCAUAACUCGUAUAACGGAUGCUUUUCGAAGGUUGAGGUAGAUGAUUUUCGAAGGUUUCUUGGUUAUGUGUUGAAGGAUGGAUACAACUGGAUGUAGGAUUUGUUAGUUUUGGGUGAGAUAUUGUGCUUCCCCUGUAUCCCCAACACCUGAUUGCAUAACCGGAAAAUUUUGGGAGUUUAUAAGUGGGAAUUCAAGUAGCUCUUAGGAUAUCUUUCCGACAAAUGUAUGAUAUGAAAUUGGGGUUCGAUGUCUAGUGGUCCGCCUAUUCACGGUCGGUUUUACAGUGGUCUCAUUGUGUCUUAAAGAGUCCUUGGCUAUGCCGACUCGGGGACGCUUCGUAUGUCAUGUGCACUGCCUUGUACAUGAUGGUGCUGUACGAUCGAGCUCGUGUAGGCCCCACCACGAAAACUUCGGACGAAAUCUCUAUCAUAUGUUUGUUCCGGCUUAUUCUGCAAGCCAGUCCUUUGUUUUUGUUUUUGAGUUGUGGUAUUCGAGUUGCUUCAAUGUCAAGUGUUGAUUCCAUACCUUCCCCAAAUGGUGUUAUCAUACUCCGAUGUGAGUACUAAUCCUUCUCGGUCAUCGAGAUUGUGCUGUCAAUCCUUUUCAACCGGUGUGCUUCUCUUCAAGCAGAUCCAUCCAUUUUCAACAUCCGCAAGAUUCAAUCUCAGCUUUCUCAACGGUGUUUGCUUCAUCCGUUCCAAGUUGUCUUUGUUUUCCCACCCACCCACCCUUUUUCUUCAAGGAUUCAGAUUUCUUAAUCACUAUCCAUUUUAUUGAUGGAAGUCUCUCCUUCAUGUUUUUACCCGGUGGUUCACAUGAAGAUGCUCUUCUAGUUCGUCAUUCUUCAUUCUUUUCUUCUCCGGUGGACUCAAAUCAAGCUUUGGUGUUGAUCAUAUCCUUUUUCAUUGUUUCAAAUACCUUCUCAUGUCGGUGCACCUCACAAUCUUUCACCGCUUGCUAUUCUAUUGUUCCGGAGUGCUGAAGAUACCUCAGAAGAUGUUGGAUUUUAUUCUCAUUCUGUCAAGAUCUUUCGGGAAUGCUAUCUUAUUCAAGCCAUUUAAUUCAACCGAUGCUUUCUCUCUUGUAAAUCGUUCAACGGUGUUUUCUUUUAAGUGGGCCCUAACCCACAUGUCUUUUUCUAGGAUCUUACCUGACUCUUCUUAUUUUCCCGGCAUUACUCUCAAAUUCUUUUCCAAGUUUGACGUAAGAAUGAAUUGUCAUCAGUCAAAUGCCUUUCUCCUAGAUCUUCCAAAUUCUUUUCAUCAUUGGCUCAACCUCUUUGUUUUGAUUCUUCCGGAGUGUCUAAACAAUUCUUGGUGGUGUUUCUCGUUGUCAUUCUCAUAUUUUGAAGACCGAAGAAGAGUUUCUUUUAAAUCUUGCCCCAUUCUCUGCCAUCCUCCCAUAAUUGUUUCGGUUGCGAGUAUUUCUUUUCAACCAUCCAGAGUAAUUCAGGAGUCUUUUUAGUUUGAUUAUCCGGAGGCCAUCAAUUCAGGUUUAUUCAUUCUCAGCUUUCAGCUCUCAUUCUCUAAAUCUUACCGGUGUUUCGUGCAAAUAUCCUCUAAUCAGUUCGAGAUCUAUUCGUCCUCAUGUAUCAAAUCCCCUCAAGUAUCAUCUUUCGUUUUCCAAUUCUUUCCGGCGAUUUGUGUCCUUGCCACUUUCAUUUUUCAAUUCUUACGGUGGUUCGUUGAAGACGUUCUCAAGUUUUGAUAUAUCUCUUUUAAUCCUUUCUACGAGAAUAAGUAGUAUGCCAAUUCCAUUGUUUGUCAUCAUUUUAAUUGGUGAAGGAUAAGCAUAAUGUAAUCCUUAUUCUUAUUUCAUCCAAGUGAUUAAUUUCCUAUUCCAGAGCCUCAUCAAAAUUCUUGGUUUCAAUUGUUUCAUCUUUCUUUUCCGGAGUUCCAAGCUCUCGCAAUUAUAUCAUUCCAAAGAUCUAUCUAAUCAUUGCAAGGAUUCACCUUGUGUUUCCAACUUCUCUAUCCUUUCGUUUGAUCAUCCCUUUGCUUACCGGAGUUCUUCAUGGAGGUCUACAUGAUCGUUCAUCAAGGAUUUAAUUCCUUCUCGAAGGGUCAUCAACAUUCUUUUCAGAGGAGCUCAAGCAUUCUUCAUCUUGCAUUCCAAAGUGUGAUUCUUUCUUUCUUAUAUUUUGAGGUGGUGUUAUGUCACUCUUGACAAAUUUCCCUUCGUGUUUCAUGAUUCACAUGUUUUCAAGAGUGAGGUAUUUAAAUCCAUCAUUUUCUCUUCGCUCAAGUCUUCUUUCCAACCAAUCAACCUCUUCUUUGGAGUUAUCUUGGGGUAUAUUUCACCUAAAGCAUUCCCUAAGAAUUGUUGCUAUCCAUGGUGCUUAUAAUCACCCAAGUUCUUUAAUUAUCCUCCCGGUGAAUAAGUUUCUCGUCUCCUCGUUCAUAUCAAUCCAAUUCUUUUCCCAUGAGUGGCAGGUUGUCACCUCAUAAUUUGAGAUGUAUUCCAUAAGACCAUAUCAAGCUUAUUCUUUUCGUUGUUGGCUUUUCCAACAACUCCGUGCGAACCUUCUCCUUAAAAUGCUUUCCAAGCUCAUCGGAGGUACAAGAUGUUGUUUUCUUCUCCGUUCUUAUGUUCCGAUGAUCCAACUUCUAUUCUUUCAUUCCGGAGGCAUUGUGUUGUUGCUCUUUUCAACCUUUCUUCUUAUUUUUGUCAGAACCUUAUUCUUUUCAUGCCUAUCCAUUUAACAGGAGUGUUGUGCCCUUUUGCUCAAGUUCUUUUCGCCUUAUCAAGCCUUGCAUAUCUUUCCAACCGGAGUGCUGCCCAAAGUUGUUCUUCCUUGUUCCUCUUUGCUAACGGAGUGUUUUUCAACUUCGUUCAUCUCCGUUGCAUUCUUUCUUUCCAUUUGACCAACCUAUCAAGGUUCAUGGUUUCACUCGAUUGUCAAUGAAGCAACUUAGUUUUACCUCUUCUCUUUCUUUUCCGUUGUCCCUCCGGUGCCAUUCCAGAUCUCGGGACGAGAUCCUCUCGUAGUGGUGGAGUGUUGUAACGCCCCGAGACCGUUGUGCCAGGUGUCCUCCAGUUAUUCGCUGUUGUUGCCUUGUCAUUCGCUUGCGUGUUGCAUCUUGCCAUGUCAUCAUCUGCAUUGCAUCAUCAUGUUUUCGAAACUUGCAUCCGUCUCGUUCUCUGAGUUCUCUCCGUUGUCCAUUCUGAGCCCAACCACACUUGCACGCGCCCGCGACAUGUCCGAAAUAGUAUUUUAUAAGUGGCCGGAAAAUGUUCUCGGAAUGGGAUGAGAGUUGACGUCUGGUCUUAUUAUAGUGUAGAUAGACCGCCUGUCAAGUUUCAUCGCAUUCGGAGAUCGUUUGAUGCCCCAACGGAUAACUAUAGCGGCAGUAUAGUCGGUCUAACGUCGGACGUUUUCGUUCUCCGGAAACCGUGCCGGGCUGCAUCUCUCCAUUCUCCUCUCAGACCAAACCGCUCUCCACAGUCCUCCUAGGCCCAGCCUACCCCUCUUUGUGCCACGCAUAGACCUCUCGUGCGCGUCCGAAACUUACCCGGACCCGACCCGAGCAGUCGUCACUGUCGUGUCCGGAUCAUCCCCAAACAUCUACAAAAUAUCACUGUUUUCUUAAUUGGGCUCCCUAACUAUUUUAUUCGCGACCGUCCGAUUACGAUCGUAGAGAUGAGGUAGCCCCUAACCUAAUCCACCUAAUGUAUAUAUAUUGUCCAACCCUAAAAUCUAGGGGGUUUGUCCCUGCCGCCGCCGCCACACUACAUCUCCCACCUCGGGAUCGAUCCCCAUCCAAUCAGUUUGUGCGUCCCCGAUCCAAAAAUCCUGUCGAUCUCCCCCCUCCAACCAGCGCCUCCCCUGAUUCCCUCGUCCACCUCAUGCAGCCCCGAGCGCCCGAGGCCCCAACAACCCGUGCACCAGCCGGCCACCGAAGCUCCUCCGCGGCCUCCUUCCUCGCCCGACGACCAGCGCCGCUGCCGGCAACCACCACCAGGGACAGCUCCGCCCCGAGAGCCUCUGCUUUCACACAAGCUCCGCGUCCACCUCGUCACCGGCCGACCGAUCCAGCAGGAUCCGCCUCGUCUCCGCCCGCGGGCUACCUCCGAAGUCAGAACGGAGCUCCACCGUCACCCUGGUUUCGGAUCCAGCCAUCUCCGACGCCUCCUCGUCGGAGCCUGUUGCAGCUCCGCCCUGCCGCCGUUUGCCUCCUCUACCAUCAGAGAUGCCACGGCCGCACUCGAGCUGGCCUCGUUCCCCAGCCGUCCUAGCGAGCCUUCGGAUUUGGCUCGUCCACGCCGGGGUUUUCCUAGUCGUCGCCUACCUCGUCUUCAUCGCGCCAAGGCCGGCGCCCAUCUACUCAGCUUGCCUCGCUGCUGCUUCCCGUGCCUGCUUCCGCCAAGCCUCGCCAUCCUUCUGCCGGUGCCCACCCGGAGAUGAACGCAACAUCGUCCCGUUCGCCUCCUUCGUGCACCUGCACUCCACGCCGAGCUCGUCCUCGAGCCCGACGCAGGUCCCGCCGAUGAGCCCUGCUCCUUUCCUCGCCAUCUCUGUUUCCUUCUCCUGUAUCUCUCUCUUCAUUUCCUCCCUCUGUUCUUCCUCGCAGGGAACAACCAGAGCACCUCAGUGAUCGCCACCACCGGGAUUCGCCAGGUCUGGCGAGGCCCUGCGUUCCCUGCCUCCUCCCCGCCAAGUUCGCUGCCGCCGUCUUGUUUCUUCUCGACGGGCGCUUCGCCUCUGCUUCGAGGACGAGCCAGGCGUGCCCCGCGUUGACCCUCUGUAUCGACCACGCCAGGUAGCAGUGAGAUUCGGCCCAAGCCACUUCGCUACUUCUACAUCUCCACCGAGCUGGGCCAGGCCCAUGGUGAGCCUCACCACUGCGCCCCCUCCCACUGUUGGGCUGGACAGAUCCGGCCCUUUUAGUAUUUUUUCCUCGGGACGAUUUUGCUAUUAAUCCAGAGUUUGCCUGUUUUACAGAAAACCCCUUGUGCUUCAUGCAUUGAAUAACUUCUCAACUGUGCAUCAUAUGGAAAAACUUUAUAUAUGAAAUAUGCUUAGAAUUGCAUCUAGUUUCAUAAUAUGUCAUUUCCAUCCAUGUUUAAAAUGUUUAAAAUGUUGUUUGAUUAAUUUUUGCUCUAUGCCAUGCUAAAAUGGUUUAAUUCAUAACUAAAUAACCGUAACUCGGAAUUUAAUAAAUUUUAUAUGUAAAUGGGGUAGAAAAUUCCUAGUUGAACAUGAUGCACUCACCUAGCAUGUUUAACAACUCUAAAAUUAUGUUUAGGGCAGAAUAGCAACAAACCUAAUAUAUGCAUAUGAGGAGUUUCCGGACUUGUUGUUUUGUUGUUCCGGCCUCAUUUAAACUUGCCUAGAUUAGAUAGUUUCAUCAUGCUUCCCCUCUUGCCAUGUUUAACAACAUUUAAUAUUGUUGGGUACAUAAACGAGAUCGAACUAAAUAACUUGUUGUGGUGUUUCGUCAAUAUGCAACUCGUUGCAUAUUAAGCUCCACUUAAUUUGUAGGGUUGCUUGUGCACUUUGCCAUGCCAUGCUUCAUUAAACCGGACAUGCAUCAUACUUGUUUGCGCAUCAUGACAUGUCUAUGUGGUGGUUGUUUACUAUGUUGUGUGCUUCUUUCCGGUGUUGCUUCUUCGGGUUGGUUCCGAUAACGUUGCGUUUGUGAGGAACCGUUCGACUACAUCAGUUUGUCUUCUUCAUGGACUCGUUCUUCUUCCUUGCGGGAUCUCAGGCAAGAUGACCAUACCCUCGAAAUCACUUCUAUCUUUGCUUGCUAGUUGCUCGCUCUUUUGCUAUGCCCAUGCUGCGAUACCUACCACUUGCUUAUCAUGCCUCCCAUAUUGUUGAACCAAGCCUCUAACCCACCUUGCCCUAGCAAACCGUUGUUUGGCUAUGUUACCGCUUUGCUCAGCCCCUCUUAUAGCGUUGUUAGUUGCAGGCGAAGAUUGAAGUUUGUUCCUUGUUGGAACAUGGAGAUGUUGUUCCUUGUUGGAACAUGUUUACUUGUUGGGAUAUCACAAUAUAUCUUAUUUAAUUAAUGCAUCUAUAUACUUGGUAAAGGGUGGAAGGCUCGGCCUUUUGCCUGGCGUUUUGUUCCACUCUUGCCGCCCUAGUUUCCGCCAUAUCGGUGUUAUGUUCCCGGAUUUUGCGUUCCUUACGCGGUUGGGUAAUAAUGGGAACCCCUUGACAGUUCGCCUUGAGUAAAACUCUUCCAGCAAUGCCCAACAUUGGUUUUACCAUUCGCCACCUAGCCUUUUCUUUCCCUUGGGUUCUGCAGACUCAAGGGUCAUCAUNNNNNNNNNNNNNNNNNNNNNNNNNNNNNNNNNNNNNNNNNNNNNNNNNNNNNNNNNNNNNNNNNNNNNNNNNNNNNNNNNNNNNNNNNNNNNNNNNNNNNNNNNNNNNNNNNNNNNNNNNNNNNNNNNNNNNNNNNNNNNNNNNNNNNNNNNNNNNNNNNNNNNNNNGGAGCAACUCUGGGCUGGCCUACCCGUUCCUAGGACAAUCUGAGUGUGCCCUGAGAAAGAGAUAUGUGCAGCUCCUAUCGGGAUUUGUCGGCACAUUCGGGCGGUGUUGCUGGUUUAGUUUUACCUUGUCGAAAUGUCUUGUAACCGGGAUUCCGAGUCUGAUCGGGUCUUCCCGCUAGAAGGAAUAUCCUUCGUUGACCGUGAGAGCUUGUAAUGGGCUAAGUUGGGACUUCCCUGCAGGGAUUUGAACUUUCGAAAGCCGUGCCCGCGGUUAUGGGCAGAUGGGAAUUUGUUAACGUCUGGUUGUAGAAAACCUGAAGUUGACCUUAAUUAAAAUACAUCAACCGCGUGUGUAACCGUGAUGGUCUCUUUCCGGCAGAGUCCGGGAAGUGAACACGGUGUUGGAGUUAUGCUUGAUGUAGGUUGUUCUAGGAUCACUUCUUGAUCAUAGUUUCUCGACCGUGCUUUGCCUUCUCUUCUUGCUCUCAUUUGCGUAUGUUAGCCACCAUAUAUGCUAGUCGCUUGCUGCAGCUCCACCUCAUACCUUUACCUUUCCCAUAAGCUUAAAUAGUCUUGAUCGUGAGGGUGCGAGAUUGCUGAGUCCCCGUGGCUCACAGAUACUUCCAAAACCAGCUUGCAGGUGCCGAUGAGUCCGUGCAGAUGACACAACCAAGCUCAAGGAGGAGCUCGAUGAAGAUCUUGUCCUUUAUGUUGUUUCGUUCUAGUUGAUCAGUAGUGGAGCCCAGUUGGGGGGGAUCGGGGACCUUGUCGCAUUUGGGGUUCUUCUUUUAUUUUGGUUCCGUAGUCGGACCUUGAUUGUAUCUGUUUGAUGUAAUGCUUUAUUCAUGUAAUUGUGUGAAGUGGCGAUUGUAAGCCAACUAUGUAUCUUUCCCUUAUGUAUUACAUGGGUUGUGUGAAGAUUACCUCACUUGCGACAUUGCUUUCAAUGCGGUUAUGCCUCUAAGUCGUGCUUCGACACGUGGGAGAUCUAGCCGCAUCGAGGGUGUUACAAAACAUUGGUAGAGAUA
rnacentral:lncRNA from 1 species